GAAAUGCGAUAAGUAGUGUGAAUUGCAGAAUUUAGCGAAUCAUCGAAUCUUUGAACGCACAUUGCGCCCCUUGGUAUUCCAUGGGGCAUGCCUGUUCGAGCGUCAUUUCAACCCUCAAGCACUGCUUGGUGUUGGGCGUUUGUCCCGCCUACGCGCGUGGACUCGCCUCAAAGUCAUUGGCGGCUGAUCCCCUUCGGCUCGUAAGCGCAGCACAGUCGGCGCCCGGAGCUCUGGUGGGAUGGCGUCCAGCAAGCUAUAUUUUCAGGCUUGACCUCGGAUCAGGUAGGGAUACCCGCUGAACUUAAGC
rnacentral:misc_RNA from 1 species